CGGGAGGCGGGGAGAGGCCCAGGCCGGGGAGGGAGGCGGGGGCAGGCGGAGGUGACAGGACCUGCGGGCCCCGCGAGGGGACGGCGGCGCGGGCGUGUGUCGGCCGGGAGGCAGCCGGCAGACCCAGAGCGCGCGCGCCGGAACGCGACUGCUUUUCUCCGACGGGGAAGCGAGCGGGACUGAUCAGCGGUCGGUUUGUCAGGUUCUGGGUCUUAAUAUUUAUGCAGAGGUGACCGAAAGCCUUGAGCAUGGGAGGAAAAUCUAGAGGAUAUAUGGCUAUCAGCCUAGAAUGAGAGAGAACCACCUGACCAGUACCUGGAAUGAAACAUGCAUGCUGGAUGUUAUGCAUUAUGUUCUGAUGGAUUGUACUGAUGAACCCUGUACUUACGCCAUGUGAAUACACAGAGACAAAUAUGAAAAACAUCAUGUGAAAAUAGAGAUUGGAGUGAUGGGUGUCUCCUAGCCAAGAAAUGCCAAGUAACCACCAGAGGCAAGAAGAGAGGCAUAGAGAGUCGAUUCUCCCUCAGAACCUCCUGAGGGCAUCAAACUGCCAACACCUUCAUUUUGGACUUCAGCCUCCAGAAUUGUGAGAGAAUACAUUUCUGUUGUUUUAAGCCACCCAGUUUGUGGUACAGAGGGAAGAAAUUCUGACCCCAGGUCAGCCUCUGAAGCAUUCAGUGGACUUGGCUAUGCUGAAUCUAAGCUACGCUGAGAAGGAUCUCUUAGUAUACAGAACAGACAUCAAAUUUAACUGCAGAGACAUUUUACUUAGGAGAUCAACUAAGCAACUCCAUGAUUUAUAUCACUGAAAAAAAAAACAAAACAGUGGCUAUUAAUUAGAAGCUCCCUAAGCUUUCUAUACCUCAUCUAUUCUUUGAAGAGACUGCCAAUGAUAAUAUAUCAAGUUAUUUUAAUAUCCACUCUGUAGAGAUAAUAGUGUUUGUAAUAUUGAGAAAAGUCCUUUGAGAAAUAUAGAGGAAAUAUUUGGUAAAACACCAGAACAGAAUUUUUUAAAGAACACAUUGUCAGCAAAUAAAAGAACUACUAAGAGAA